CAGCAGUAGCCACGGUAAUACAGAGGGUGCGAGCGUUAAUCGGAUUUACUGGGCGUAAAGCGUGCGUAGGCGGCUUUUUAAGUCGGAUGUGAAAUCCCUGAGCUUAACUUAGGAAUUGCAUUCGAUACUGGGAAGCUAGAGUAUGGGAGAGGAUGGUAGAAUUCCAGGUGUAGCGGUGAAAUGCGUAGAGAUCUGGAGGAAUACCGAUGGCGAAGGCAGCCAUCUGGCCUAAUACUGACGCUGAGGUACGAAAGCAUGGGGAGCAAACAGGAUUAGAUACCCGCGUAGUCCCUGUCUCUUAUAC
rnacentral:rRNA from 1 species